rnacentral:tRNA from 1 species
GCGCACGUGGCGGAAUUGGUAGACGCGCCAGCUUGAGGGGCUGGUGGAGGAAACUCCGUGGAAGUUCGAGUCUUCUCGUGCGCA